rnacentral:rRNA from 1 species
CUUAGUGCUGCAGCUAACGCAUUAAGCACUCCGCCUGGGGAGUACGACCGCAAGGUUGAAACUCAAAGGAAUAGACGGGGACCCGCACAAGCGGUGGAGCAUGUGGUUUAAUUCGAAGCAACGCGAAGAACCUUACCAAAUCUUGACAUCCUCUGACCCCUCUAGAGAUAGAGUUUUCCCCUUCGGGGGACAGAGUGACAGGUGGUGCAUGGUUGUCGUCAGCUCGUGUCGUGAGAUGUUGGGUUAAGUCCCGCAACGAGCGCAACCCUUAAGCUUAGUUGCCAUCAUUAAGUUGGGCACUCUAAGUUGACUGCCGGUGACAAACCGGAGGAAGGUGGGGAUGACGUCAAAUCAUCAUGCCCCUUAUGAUUUGGGCUACACACGUGCUACAAUGGACAAUACAAAGGGCAGCGAAACCGCGAGGUCAAGCAAAUCCCAUAAAGUUGUUCUCAGUUCGGAUUGUAGUCUGCAACUCGACUAUAUGAAGCUGGAAUCGCUAGUAAUCGUAGAUCAGCAUGCUACGGUGAAUACGUUCCCGGGUCUUGUACACACCGCCCGUCACACCACGAGAGUUUGUAACACCCGAAGCCGGUGGAGUAACCAU